rnacentral:lncRNA from 1 species
GGAAGUGUCACCGGUCAUCUGCUCAGCGAGCGGGACACCUGAAAGCCCAGCUGGGGCAGCCUGCAGGGCGCCUUCACCCACUGCUGCUGCUCAGAGACAAUCAGGAUUGCCCUGGGACCAUCUCCCACUGUGCCUGGCUGCCCACCCAGGGGCCCAGGACAGAGGCGGGCAGGCAGUGAGUGGAGGCAUGGCCCUCCAGCACCCCCACCUCCCCUCCAGGGCAGCGCCUAUCUGCCAACUUCAUCCUCAUGGUUAGCCCCCUUUGGUGGGGUCAGAAGCCCCGGAAGAGCCCCAAGGCUGGGAGGUGGUCUGCCCACACUGCCCCAUCUCCUCUUAGCCCUCUCCUCUCUGGGGCGCACCCGCGGCUAAUCAAGGGCAUUGCCUCCUGGCAUCUCCCCCCAGCCCACCAAGUGCAGCGGGACCUGGAGCUGGGCACAGGGGCCUUAGGAAUGGACAGGUGGUCUCCAGGAGCUUGGGGCGACAGUGCGGUGCUGAGCAGGGCUGAAAUAAUGCUGCCCCAUCUCUGAGGACCCCAUGCUGAUGGGUACAAUGACCCUGGAUGAGGAAUAACAGGUGCCCUUGGGGAGCGCCAGGGAGCUGCCCCUGGUGUGGAGAGAGGACAGAGUGUCUUAGUCCUGGCUGCUCUCGCUGGAGGGAUCCAGUCCACUAGCCCAGGCUAAGGGGAAGGGCUGAGGGAGCCCCGGGCUCUGGUCCCUUGGGCUGGCCUGGCCUGGCCUGGCCUGGUCGGGCCCCACGGGGAGGGCUGCACUGCUCCCUGACUCUUCACACUGCCCAGAAGGGCCCUUUGCCCAAGAGUAUCAGCUGUGUGACUGCAGCAGAGGGUGGCCAGAGGUCUGGCCAGGCUGGGGCCACCUGAGAACUGAGGCUCUUGCCCCCUCCCCCACCCCUGGGCCGGCCUCCGGAAGGGAGGGCUGGAGAGAGUAGGCUGGAGGGCUGCUCCAAGAGCUCUUGAAACCUAGAGCAAGGGUCAGGCUCAGGAGUCAGAAGUGAGUCAUUCCAAACCAGGAGGCCUAGGGUAUCCCAGGCUGAAUCAAGCGCUCCUGAUGGCUGUUGCGGUGCUGGCCGUUCCCCUGCGUGGCCUGAUAGACCUCUCCCAGCCUGCUGACCAUGUGUGCCACGCCCGACUUUAUAGGUGAGACGACUGAGGCCCAGAGAGGGUGGCGCAGAGCUGCACAGCAACAGGACCGGGAGCUGGGAUACGCCUCAGGCAAUCCAACUGGGCCCCCUCACACUUGGGCCUCCCCUCCCCUCCCCUCCCCUCCCCUCGGCGUCGGUGCGGUCCCCAGCAGGGCGCUGGGGGCGGGCGCAGGUCUCCGCGGGCAGAGACAGCACUCGGCCACCAGGGGGGGCUAAGUCCUCGCUCCUGAGCAGCGGCCUGGGCUUCCCCGGCCGGCCCACGAGGUGGCAGCCGCCCCCCGACUGUGCAGCUCCAGACGAGGCGGAGCAUCCCCAGCCUCCCACCCCCGUCGGCUGUGCUCUGCUCUCUCCUUCCCAGCCAUGGGGUCACCGAGGCCCCGCCUUUCCAGCUCUAUCUCGGGGCAGACCCUGGAGGUCCCUCUCAACCCACCAGCUCCAGAGGACCCACCUUCCCUAACAGCAAGGCCCCCGAACAUCGCCAGCGCCCCUCAGCCCUCACAUGGGCCUAAUGGGGCGGUAAGGUCCCAAGAAUCCCUCACAAGCACACACUGGUCGGCAGGCAGGACACAGAGCACGGAAGGGCCAAGGUCACCAGGGAUGUGUGGGGAGCUGCCUCCUCCCCUGCCGGCUUCGCUCUCCUCUUUGGCAAGCUCAGACUUGGGGUCCCCCAGGACGAGCUCCGCCAGUGUCACCCCGCUGUGCCGCUGGACCGCCUCGUUCACACCUGCAGCCCUGACUCGGGAUCCCCGCGGCCAGCAGCCUCGCCCACGCCUGCGCCCGGUGUGUCUGACGGCACCUCCACUUCUCGCGUCCCGCGGAGCCUCACGUUUCCCUGCCUCAGGCCUUCCUCCGCAGGCUUCCGUCUCAGCCCUCCUUCCCUGGGUCCCACCUGGACUGCUCCCUUUCCCACAUGUCAUUCUCUCUGCCCCCCACAUGUACCCUGAAUCUGGGUACUUUUCUCCCUCUCCGGUGCCUUACUCUUAACCCAAGCCACUGUCAUCUCCACCUAGGCUCCUGGAGCAAUAGUAAAUAAUUACAAUAUUUAUUGGUUUACCAGGGACUCUGCUAAGCAUUUCAUCUGUAUCAGCCUGUUUAAUCCUCACCACAACCCUGUGAGCUGGACACUAUCUUUGCUUACAGAUAGGGAAACUGAGACACAGAGAGGUUAAGCGAUUUGCGCAAGCUCACACAGCUGUUAGGAGGAUGUUCCAGGAUUCAAACCCUGGCAGUUUGGCCCUGGUGACCCACAGAGUGCUGUCUGGCUUCUCAUGCAGGGCAGAGAAGGUCAGAGCUGGGCUCCUCCCAGGCACCUGUGGUGGAAGGAGGAAAGGGGAAAGAGACACGGUGGCCCAAGGGAUCUAGGAAGCAAAGUGGGAGUUGGGAAUCUGUGACCUUGGACUUAGUGUGGUUUCCUAUGGUGACAAGGACAGAAGUGGCAGAGGAGGUGGGGAAUGUAUGGCCAAGAUGGGCAGAGGGAAAGAUCACUGGACAGAGAGGACCUCAGUUCCAGAUCUUGUAGAUAAGCCCUGUUCCACAGACCUACCCUCUUCAGCCUCCUCUUGGGUCCAAAGACACCUUCAUCCUACGCUCUGUCUGCACCCAGUCCCAUCAGAUCAUGCUUGUCGCCUGCCCACUCACCUGCUUGUGCCCUGGGACAGCCUGUGUCUGCCACCUGUGGCUGUGUGCGUGUGCUCCGUGACAGUGCCUGCCCAAGUGCCUGGGGAGGCGCUGGUUGCCUGGGCUUCAUCUUAGGCCUCUCCUGGGGUGCAGAACCUGGAAGCAGGGUUGGGGGAGCCCCAGGGCUGCUGACGCCUGGAACCUGCUCCUGGAGAGACCCAGGAGCUCGGAGGGCGAUUCCCACAGACCCAGGGAAGGGAGGCCGCCAGGUAGGCUGGGACAGGAGGGAACGCUCCAUCCUUACUCUCCAAGCCAAUGUGCUGAAUUUUACUUUUCCUUUUAUUUAUUUCUUCUUCUUAAAUCCUGUUUCUCUCCCUGAGGCAUCUAAUCUAUUAUUUAACAUUGGAUUGUGCGAUUGAAACUCCCAGGCAAAUUGAAAAUUAUUUGUGUUUGAAG